GAGUAUGAAAAGUUUAAAAAUAUAUUUGAGAUGUAGAGGGGCUAAAUGAUACUUUUAAUAUAUUAAAAAGUAAGAAAAACGACAUUCUUAUUUGGAGUCAAAUAUCUAAAACCACCCAUAUGAAAUUUCGUGUGCGCAAGGUGCACAAGAGCCAUACUAAUCUUCCUAGGGUCCCUAGCAAAGAAGAAUUAUUUACUAAAAACAAGACAAUGUUGUUUAUCCAACAAACAAAACUCUCAGUAACACCCCUCCAAAUAUAGAUAAUUUCUAGGUAACAUGCAUCUACUUUUGACAUAUUAUUCAAAUUAGAUUAUCUUUUAAUGGCGAUAAAGAGAACAAAAAGUACAGAUUAAAUCGAGAUUUCAUACAACUGAAGCAAGAAGAUCUUGAUCGAAAGCUUAAACCUUAAUGUUCUAAAUAACAAAUGUCCUAAAUAACAAAGUGAAGUCUGGGAGGAUAAGAUGUACCAUUGGUGCGCUAGGAAAUGGAAUUCAAAAAGUUCUUUAACUGUGAAUUUUGCUAGGAUUUGAAAUUCAAAAAGUCCUAUAACUGUGAAUUUUCUUAAAAGAUAAGUUAUCUAUCAUUAUUAUACUUGAAUUUUAAAAGAAAAAUUGUAGACCACAUGAACUGAUGAAUCAAAACAAUUAACAUCUGUAAUUGCACAAAUCUCGAAUACUAUAAUUCUUGAUAAACAACUGACACCCAAGGUAAGUAAACACACAGCUUCCCUAACACUCAGCAAAAAUACAACAAAGAAAAAUGUACAAACAGGUACAAAAUGACAUACUACUACAUUAUUUUACAGUGUCAUCAUGGUAAUAAUUCUUGAGGAUUAUGUGGUCAAAACAUCUGGGAUAGUAGGGGCAUGAUUUCCCAGUACUCUACCCCCUAUGUCUGGGAAAUUUUCAUAUCCUGAUAAUGGACCUAUUUUCCCAUCCGCACCCACAUGUAUUGGAUACUUCAGAAGAUGUCCUUGCAGUUGACUGAAAUUUUCAGCUGUGUAUCUCUUCCAGUUUUCUUCAGCAACCUCAUUCACCCUCCUCACACAUGUUAGCGCCUCUGGUUCCUCGAAACAUUCUUCUAUUCUCCCAAGGUGCUCUGACCACAGGGACAUUCUGUAUCCGUAGAUCUGCAGAUCAACACAAGAUGAAUAAAUACAUAAAUGUAUCCGGUUUUGUUAACAUCAACAGCAUCUUCUCAAGAUAAAUUAUGUGCAUAGUGUGAUUUUCAUUUAAACCUUUCCCCGUGGAUGCCUUUGCUUUUCUGUCCAUGCGUAAUGAGGCUGGUAGGCACCCAUAGCUAUCUCUGUAUCUUUUGACCCAGCUAAAGAUCGUUGAUUUAUGUUGGCAGAGCCCACUAUAACAUAAUCAUCAUCCACUAUCAUUCCUUUGGCAUGAACAUAUAUCAUGAAACGCUGAAACUUAUACGAGUCUGAGACCUGAUUGCACAUCAAAGAAAACUUCUCAAAAACGUAUUCAAGUUUGAUCAAAUUUUGAUAAGCAAAAUAAAACAAAAACAAGAAAGCAUAGAGGGUGACAACUCAUAACUUUUAAGGGGUCACUUGGUUUUGAGGUAAGUCAUGCAUGGGUAAGUAACGCGGAAAUUGCAAUGCAAAGAUUAGUGAUCUUGAAUUCUAAUGGGGAUCACUAUUGUUGGGUUUUUAGUUUGACAUAUUACAAUUGGUACAUUUACAAAUGUGUCUACUUUUUAAACGAAAUAAAUUGUGUUUACUGUAUGAGGAUUAAUUUGAUCAUUAGUGUUUCUUAACCUAUGCAUUACUAAUACCUGCAUUCUUAUUUCGGCUUUCUAUCAUGCAUAACAUAACUUACGCAGGCAAGCAUUAUUGAUGAACAGAGGUAAAAUUGCAACAAAACAAAGUAUUAGGUUAUGCUAAAAUUCAAGACAGAUAUUAGUUUCUCCUCAUUCAAGUAACCAGCGGCCCCCAAGUUUUUUCUUCUGCUUCACACAUUAGGCAGAAGCACGGAAAGACAAAAUAUUGUUACUGAUCAUAGUGGGUAUGCUUCCUGCACUGAGAUGAGACUUAUAGGUCGAAGUAAGCCGUAUGCCUAUGUUACUACUUGACAAAAUUGAACUUCGUUUCAUUCCAGGGUAUAUGAUUGAAUUCAGUCAGUCUCACGACAUAAUCAGAGCAAGGCUUUGGUUACUGGCAUUUCCUCAUGGAUCCAACUGUUAGGUUUGUGGGUAGGUUUGUAAAGCAAUUCUAUUAAUCACCCGAAGAACUCAUCUCAAUCACACUUUAAUAAGUCAGUCUCACUUUAUCAUAAAUGGUUUAACCACCCCAACUAGCGGUCCGAGCAGCUACAACUAGUGUAAUCAUCAUCAACAACAACAACAACAACAAACAAAAGUGUAUUCCCACAAAGUGGGGUCUAGGGAGGGUAAGAUGUACGCAGUCCAUACCGCUAUCUCCGAAGAAGUAGAGAGGUUGUUUUCGAUAGACCCCCGGCUCAAGAUAAAGAGUAGUAAACAAUGGGAUGGAUGACACAACAGAAAAUCAGGAAUAAGGAAUAAUAAAAUAGAAACCAGAGAAAAUACGAAAUAAGAGACAUAAGGGCAACACUAAAUAAGAAAAUAGGAACUAAGAAAUAAGAAAUAGGACCCCCACCUAGUAGUAACAUACCCCCACAUACCAAAGACACCUAAGUACACAGUUCUAGGAUUACAAACCCGGCUACACAAGAACUUCUACAAUCCACGCACUCCCACUAGCCUUCUACCCUUAUCCGCGACCUCCACACCUUCUUAUCUAGGGUCAUGUCCUCAGUAAGCUAAAGUUGUUCCAUGUCAUGUCUAAUCACCUCCCUCCAGUAUUUCUUCGGCCUACCGCUACUCCUCCUGAAACCAUCCAAAGCUAGCCUCUCACACCUACGAACUGGGGCAUCCGCGCCCCUCCUCAUCACAUGCCCAAACCACCUCAGCCUUCCUUCCUGCAUCUUGUCCUCCACUGAAGCCACUCCCACCUUCUUCAGGAUAAUCUCAUUCCUAACUCUAUCCCCUCUAGUAAGCCCACACAUCCAACGUAACAUUCUCAUUUUCGCCACCUUCAAUUUUUGGAUGUGGGAGUGCUUGACUGGCCAACACUCCGCUCCAUACAACAUGGCCGUACGAACUGUCACUCUAUAGAAUUUGUCUUUAAGCUUAAAGGGCACCUUCUUAUCACACAACACUCCCGAGGCGAGCCUCCACUUCAUCCAACCUGCUCCAAUACGUUUAGCGACAUCCUCAUCAAUCUCACCAUUCCCCUGAAUUGUAGACCCAAGAUACUUAAAACUAUCCCUCUUACGAACAUCCUGAGAGUCCAACCUCACCACCACUUCGUCCUCCUGCCUCAAGUCACUAAACUUGCAUUCCAAAUACUCCGUCUUGGACCUACUCAACCUGAACCCCUUAGACUUGAGGGUUUGCCUCCAAACUUCCAAUUUGUCAUUCACAACCCCUCCCUCACGUCUCAUCAAUCAACACUACAUCAUUCGCAAAUAACAUACACCAAGGCACCUUGCCUUUAAUACCCCGCCAACACGUCCAUCACCAACACAAAUAGGAAUGGACUAAGAGUCGAUCCCUGAUGCAACCCUGUCUCGACCGGAAAAUGCUCUAACGUCGUCCUCACCCGGGUCUUCCCUCCAUCGUACAUGUCCUUAACUAGUGUAAUCAUGCUAUUGAAUAAUCAUUCACCAAUUGAGAAACCAGUAUAGAAUUCGAGGAGACGCGAAACAAGCAGAGUUUAGGGAAUCUGAUACUGUUUAAAAGUCGAUGGCUAUUUUUUAAGACUCCAAAACCCAUUUUCAUCAAUAUUAAAGGCAGCCUUCACAUCAGAUGCUCCAAAAUUUAUUUUGUGUAUAUACCCAACAAGCAUAUUUAAAACAAGAAAAUUCCCAAUUACCUUAUCACCAUUACCAGAAGGUUGAGGGAUAGAGCCUGGAAUUUCUUCACGGUUACCAAGGCAGUAGAAAUUCAAAUAAUCUUGCGGAUGUGAGUCCAAAAGCUGCAUCGACUUGAGCUCUGUUGCAAUAAUUUGAUACAUCAUCUGUAUAGUCUGGCUCUGUUGAAAGAAAAUAAAAAUCUUAAAAAGCACAUCUCAUUUUCUUCUUGUAUGGAGUACCUUUUUUCAGAUCACUCAUUGAUCCAAUAGUCAGUUGAUCACAUACUGAAUCAUCAAAUUUUCAUAGUAAUAUAAUGACAAUGAGAGGCAUGAAGAAAAACACGUCAUGGAACAUACUCCCUCUGUUCCACAAUAAGUGAAUUGAUGGAGUAUUUUUUAGUGUUCAAAAUAAGUGAAUGGUUCACAAUUCAAGGUAGAUGUUGGAAAUUUUUUUCAAAUAUACCAUCCAUUAAAUGUGCAUUGGAAGUGAUGUAUCGUUAUUAAGGUUUUGAAAUUUGAAAAGGAUAAAAAUGGAAAAACAUGAUAAAUUUAUGUCUUUAUUUAUUUUUAUUAACAUGUGUGCCAAAAUCCAACAAUUCACUUAUUAUGGAAAGGAGGGAGUAGUGUUUUUUUCAAUAUCCUUUUUUCUCACUUGUACCUCCAUGUCUAAGGGAAGAAAUAUACCAUCCUAAAGGAUAAGAAUAUUUGUUCUUUCAAACAUUUAAAGCAAAUAAAAGCUCUCUUUUGGAUAGGCAUGAUUAUAGAUAAUAGAAAAAACUAAAAAGGUGGCCACAGUUUAUGUUUAAUGCACACUCUAUAACUAGUACAUUCUGAUAUUUGGAUGCAUUAACCCUUCAGACAGCUGGCAUAUCUAAUUCUGAAAGUAUACUUGAUGCGGCUGCCUAUUUGAGGCCAGUGUAACCUAAUCAUUUCAUUUAAUUGUUGUGGCCAGUAUCAUCUGAUCAUUGCUCAUUUAUAACUACCUAUCUUCUUCAUAAGAUCCAAAAGACAUAAACAUAAGAGUUUCAGCAAAAUUACCUGCCAGAAGAGUAUUUCCUGCAUAGUGAUUGACUUAGGGUCCCCUUCAGGCCACAUGGGCACAACAACAUAUACACAAAACCGCUCCCUGGCUCUAAUUUUACUAGUAAUUUUCAGUGCCAAUUCUAUCGGUAUCAGAUGAUCAGCUCCUGAUCAAGUUAAAAACAAAUGAAAUCAGGACGCAAUGCAACUCCUCUUAAGAGUGUUUAAAAUGAGUACAUCUCGAAAGAGAUAUUAGGAAAACUAUGUAAGAACUACAAUUUUACUUUAGGAGGUUGCACGAUCUCAAAACCAUUCAUUUUUUCCUAGGAAGCUACAUAAUUUGGAAUCUUAGCAAGUUUGGAGCAAUAUCCGAAUAUUUAUAAAAUGGGGAUGCAUUCCAAGUGACAAAAUGGUCAUUUAGAUGAUAAUUUCUUUUCCAGAACCAUAUUGGACCGCACUAUUGAGUUUUACCUAUGAGCUUCAAUGCAUUAAGUUGCAAUUAUCAGGGUUUCAACUUUUCAUAUGGACAAGAAUAUAAGGCCAAGCCUACCUUAAUACAUGCUAGGGAGUAGAAUCUUAUAUAUUGCAAUUCAGAAACAUAGCAAGAAGAUCAAAAUUUGACCUGCAUCUUUGUACGAUUCCCAGGCGUAUGAGGAUCCAAGAAAAUACUGAUUUUCAAUAUAUAUGAAAUGCUGAGCUGAUCUUAUUGCCUGAAUAUAUGCGGCUUCAAUGCUUUUAUCUACUAUCAGAUUUUUUGAGCAGACAAGGUUCUGCAAAAGAUAUAACGCCAAAGAAAAUGUGAAGUGUGAGGGGAGGAUAAAUUUUCUUCCUAGAGUUCCUUAAACAUUACGGCUACUUUAGCAAAAGUUUGAAAACAGAAUAGAAGGCUACGGUUUCCUUGCCUGCGCCUGCGCAGCAUCAAUUCUCUUGGGAAAGCCCUGCACUGAACCAGAAUCAAUGGAGCGGAAGAUCUGCAAUAAAAGAAUUGAGGGUGAAAGUUGAAAGAUAUGUAAGUAUUCAAAGAUAUCCACAAAACAAAGAAGUAUCAACCUGUACGUGCCAAUUUUCUGAGUGAUCUUCCCCAUACACAUAUAAUCUGGGAUCAUCCACUGGGAUUGUAGUGCCUUCCUUUAAAACAGCAAAAGCAGGGCUGAGUAUCCAUGAGAUACGCUCAAUUUUUAGCAUAGCAUCAUCAUGCCAAUGGGACAUUGUUUUCUUAAAAAAUUUGAAUUCCCUCCACUUUGUCGCUUUCCUCCACCGCUGAGCAAAGUUUAUAAGCACGUCAUAUACAGCAGGUCCAUCAAUUCUGCAAUGCAAAUCAUGCCAUGGUUGCCUUGGAGCCUUGGUCCCUGCCUAAUGCAUGUGACCAAAAAUAAUCAAAACAAGAAAAGAUAAUCAACUUUGAGGAAAAUACAGGAAAGACGUAAUGAAAAGAAAGGAAUAUGUAACAGAAAAAGGACAAACAACACAUGUAAACGUACAAUACGCUGAAAUGAGCUUGGUUUCAAUUGAAACAAAAGCGAGAGCCCUGCACUUAAGUUACUUAGGGACCUUUUAGAUAACCCUAUUCAAUACUUGCAAGAGAACGUUCAAAGUUGAAUGAACAAAAACCAACGGCAAACGUGCUUGUUAAUGUCAAAAGAAUAUCAUUCACUAUCUAUCAAAUACUAGAUAUUUUAUGGCUACAACACUGAAAUACAUUAAAUCAAUCACUACCAUUUUUUUUUGAUAUCCGUGGUGUCCAGGCUAGCUUUCGUGCACCUCGACUAAAUCCAUGGGAUACCUACCACUUCCCACCAGCAGCAGAUACCAAGUAACUUUGUCCACCAAGGCUAGGACAGAUGAGAAGAAUCACCUAGUGUUUUGUACCUCCAUUGGGAUUUGAACCUGAGACCUCAGGCUCUCAACCCACAUCAUUGACCACUAGACCACUACCAUAUUGAUAAUAAUCUACCAAGUUUCUUAUUUCAUAAUUUAUGUUAGGAAAUUAUUUUAUCACAGUUCUUGAAUUUUAUGAUAUACAACUAUUUGUUAAUGAACAAUUAUUGCUGACAGAGUUACAUAUUGCAGAUUGAGUAUUAGAGAUGAAAUAGGUUCAUCUACAUUAAGGUUAAUGAAGAAACACGUAUACCGAGUUGGCAAGAAAUAAGUCCCAAAUUAUCCCCCAAAAGAAAUCCAAGAUAAGAAAUCAUAGUAAUAAAAACCGAAAGAAGAUAUAGCAAUCUGAUAUUGAAUAUUCAAAAUACAGGCACAUAACUUUAAGUCUUGAGAUUUAAUUUUUCACUAUCAAACAGCUCAUAACACUUCUGAAAAAUAAUUACAACAAUUAUGGAUGUCAAGAACCAUAUUUAAGUUUGAAAAUGUUGAUACUCAAAAUCCAGGACAUAAGUUUCAGGAUUUAGAGUCUAACUAUUACUCCCUCCAUCCCAAUUUAUGUGGCAUCAUUUGACAUGGCACAAAGUUUAAGAAAAAGGAAGACUUUGAAAUUUGUGGUCUAAAAUAAACUUUAUACAUUUGUUUGACUAUAAAUCAUUUCAUGGUAAAAGAGGAAUUUAAAGUUAAGAUGUUUCUAAUUAUAAAAAGGUGACAUUCUCUCUGGGAUAGGCUAAAAAGGAAAGGGUGCCACAUAAAUUGGAAAUGAGGGAGUAUUAUUCAAUUAAUGGCUAAUAAAUCUCCUUAACGAGUAUCUACAGCAAUUACAUAAGUAGAGAACCAUAUGCUUUGCGCUCCUUCUAAUUACAACAUGCUUGAGAGCUUGAAAUGCUGUGAACUACAACACUGCCCUUUGCUCGUUAAAAUUUAAAUCACGUGAAAAAUAAUAGCUAUAUACUAAAUAUCUAGCAGCAAAUUGUCUCCCAUAGUAUGAAAAGAUGGCUUACAUUUGUUAGUUCAGAAGAAGAAUUGUAGAUACUCUACAUAAACCUAUAACCCUUUCUUUCUAGAUUACUUGGUCACAAUAACAUAUGAUAAUAAAUUUCAUAUUAUCCCCUUUUUGAUAAUUAAGAAUAAUAAAUCUGUUGUUAGUGCCCACAACAUCACACUAGCAUCAAGUACACUAGCCAUUUACACAACCAACCAAUUUCUAUGAUCAGUAUUCCACAAGUCCACUUCAAUGUCUGCUGACUGCAAUCGCAGUUGUUCCAAAUUCUGUAAGGGAAUACUUAGCAGCAUUUCAUAAAAUUCUUGGAAACAACGUUCUAGAAAAAAACAAAUCAACCAAGUGAAGAGAAAUCUCUUCAUUUGCUGAAGACAAUGGUAUUUUUUGUGAAUCUACGGUCAAGAGUAUUGAUCCCCUAACCACCUUCACAAUUCUAGAAAAUCAACUAUGUAAAGUAAGGAGUCGUCCCAGAGUACAUAUGACAGAUAUUAGAAUUAUUGAAGGGAAAAAUUUAGAACAAAAGCCACUCACAGGAAAUGUAGGCUGAUGAAAGUCAUCUUUAAAUACAGUGUCAAGAUCAUGGAAUAAGCGAUGUUCCGGUGUAUCAUAUCGACCAUCACAGAGAUCCAGACCUCCUAAGAAUGCUGUAAUUUUUCUAUUAUUACCAGGUGCCUGUGUAUCUACCAGUACACACUUCUGAUGGUGUGUAAACAUGGUUCCAACUACCUGGAAGCAAAAAAUAUUUAGGUCACAAAAGCACUUCAUUGCAAUAUCAGUAGAGGCCAUGGUGUGUAAACAUGGUUCCAACUACCUGGAAGCAAAAAAUAUUCAGGUCACAAAGUCACUUCAUUGCAAUAUCAGUAGAGGGCAAAUCAUGCAUCCAAAGGUAGGGAAAUUGGUUUAACUGAUUUUAUAUUCAUAAAAAGAUUGAAGACUCUCAGAAGGGAAUAUUUAUACCUUCCAAACAAAUUUAACUACUGCUUUAGAAGAAUUAUAGUAUUUGUUUAUUCCAUUCAUUCAUGACACUAUCCUGUCAAGCCACAGAAGGCAAGCAUCCGUAUUUAUGUUAUNNNNNNNNNNNNNNNNNNNNNNNNNNNNNNNNNNNNNNNNNNNNNNNNNNNNNNNNNNNNNNNNNNNNNNNNNNNNNNNNNNNUGAACCAAAGCAUUUCCUUGAUUCCCAUCUUUCAUCCGUAAAAUUAUAAGAAUAUUUUCAAAUGGAACCUCCAUCAAAUGGAACACCUGAUACUGAACCCAAACUAUUGAAGGCAUGGUUCAAGGGGCAAUAACUUCACAGGCACAUAGGGAAGCCAACAAUCAGAAGACCUCAAAGUACAUUUAAUCUAACAAAUGUGUAAAUGGUUAUGAAAGUUAACCUGUUGCUUGAUAAGGCUGAGCUUACUGCUAGCAUAACGUGGUGACAAAACGCAUAUUACAGAGGAAUGCUUAAAGAACUUCCUGGUCUCCUCAUCGUGAGUUCCCAUUACUCCCGCCUGCAUCCAAUGUCAUCUCAAACUAUUGUUUAAUUCACCAACAAGAACUCAAACUAAUGAUACACUCAUUUGAAAGCAAGUUGAAAAAGACAAUUCAUUUUAAUGUAAAUUGAGCUCGCCAUUAAAAUAAUAACCACUAGCAACAUUAAGACAAUAUUCUUAUCUUACACCUAUCUGACUACCUACUUAAAAUAACAGCCAACAAAGUAUCCAAAAGUAACUCAAUAUAGUUUAACAAAGAAAUCAGCAAACAGUAUAAAGAUCCAUACCGUGUUAAUAAAGAAUUUAUCAUGGGAAGUUUUAUCAUCCCAAACUAAUAAAAGAACCCGAACCCCUUCUUGAGACUUAUACUUAAGUAAUUCACCAAGUGUCAAGUCUCCGCCGCGUGGCAAUGGCUUGGUGGGCUCUCGAAUUAACUUGAUUUUGUGAAAAACAGACCACCCAACAAUGUAAACCAAAUGAUGAGCCUCUGAAAUUGCAUAACAUACAUCUUCCCAGCAUUUGUUGUGUUCGAAAACUGUAUUGUUUUCCAGCUGUAUAUCUGGGAGCUUAAAGUUAUCGCUAACAUGAGCAUCUUGGUACAGCUUCACUGAACUCCCUUUUCUCAGUGGAAAAUACGUAUGCCUUACCCCUAAAUGCUGAGGAUCUGAAGCAAUUCCUCUUCUGUACAAUGGGUUUUUAUCGUACGGAACGAAUUUCAUCAUUAACCGGAGAGCCGUGUUGGGUUUUGGAGGUUUACCUGAAGCACCAAUAACGGGAAACCAGCCGGCAAUGACCUCACCGGGGGCAAUUUUCUCGGCCAGAAUAGUAACUUUACCCAUAACUUGAGCACCGAAAACAUCAUCAUCUUUAACACGAAACUCCAAAGAGUCAAUUGGGUGUGCUAAGUGGAUAUGGAAAUGCUCAUCCCAAACAGGGUUUUGUGAAUUGGGUAUAACACGUGUACGGGCAAGAGCAGUGUGAGGAGCGCACACAGUAACGUAUGGGUCACUAGUUAUAAUCCUCCGGUGGUGGAUUUUUUGGUCGGAGGUUUUCACAUUGGGAACAGCGCCGUUUCCGUCGGUGGCGGCGGAGUCGUCGUCAGGAGGAGGUUUCCGGCAGACAUCACAGGCGGUGAAGCAACGGCGAAUACGCUCGGAAGUUAAGUCCAUGUUGGGUAAAUGACGUGCUUGAAUUAUAUGAAGCUCUAAAUCUCCAUGUAAACAAAUGAAGUUUUCCUUGGAUGAAUUUUCUGCCAUGUUUUUGUGUUGUGUCGAGAGAGAUUGUUGUAGUUGUAAUAGUGUUCAAAGAAACAUAGGGAAAAGAGAGAGAAGAUGAUAGCAAUUGCAGAGAUAUAGAGAUACACGUUGUGAAUAACUGCAAAGCUUUGCUGUGAUUUUACGACUCCCAGUAAUGGUGACACCGUAGGACGUAGCGGUGGAGGUUAAGGUAUUAUUGACAUUUAACUUUAAGUAACAAAAGUGUGGCAUUUGCAUAUGCCAAAUGGGAGUAAGCACUGCGUUUGGAGUUUGGACAUUCAAAUUGUAGUCUGUAUUUGAAACUUACUAAAGUUAGAAACUCAAUUGUUAAAAAAAAAUAAAAAAAAAGUAUCUCUCUAAUUCAAAAUAAAUUAAGAAUAUGCCUCCAAAUUUAAAAAGAAAUGUACAUGUAGAUGUUUAUUUAAAAAAUGGGCUAAUAUCACCUUUUUAAAUUCGAAAUUUAUUUUCAAGAAUUUUUUACUUGUAUUUAGCGAUAUAAAAAACAUUAUUUUAGAAUCUCUUUUUUUCCCUUUUUGCUUGGCAUAUCUCGUUUAGUAAUAAGAUUAUAGUAUAUAAGUUUUCGUGAGAGCAAUCAAAUGUAGAAUAAAAUUGCGUAUAAUAAUAAAUUUUCAUCUUUAGGCAUUGAAUAUCUUUUUUAUAUUUUAAAUAGGUUUCACCACAAUUAAGAUAUCAUGUUAGUAUAAUUUUAGGUAGAACAUUCUUUUUUUGUUUUGCAAUUGCUACAUGCACUUGGGACCAACAAGUUAAAAUUUGAACGCAUUAUUUUCAAAGUAGUUCAGAAUUAAUAUGAUGUUGGUGUGAUUUUCUUAUAAUAUGUAGCUAGACAAAUUAAAAGGAUCCAUUAGAAAAUAUUUCACAAGAUUAAUACACAAUGCUAAUAUAAUAGGGGGUAUAUUACAAACUAAAUUUACUACGCUGCAUCGCAGUUAGUAUAGAAGACGUGUAAAUCACAUCUUAUAUAAUUUUAAAAUUUUUAUAAAAAUUUGUAUUUUUGAAAUUUUAUGACAUACGUGUUAGAUCUUGAAAGAGAGAAAUCUAUUGAUUUGGUGAUUAGAGAAACUGAUUUGAUGAUAGUUGAUUUGAGUGGUUUGCCUUUUUCUUUAAUAUUUGACUUAAAGAAGGUUUGCCUAACAUGUUCCAGUAGGACCAAUAUUGUAGUAAUUGGUCAUCAAGAUUUGUGUUUAACAAGUCUAUAUAUAUGUCGAACUUUCUUCUAGAAAAGGGUUAAAAGAAAGUGUAGGGGCUAAAUCUUGUAUAGCUUUACAGACGAAAAUGAAAUAAAAGUAAAGCAGCUCGUUAAUAUUCUCCCAUCAUUUCUUAUGCAGCACUUAAAGCCUACACUUUAGAGGCCAAAAGUUGAAACUAGAACAAGUUCAUUAGUCAUUAAUUAAUGUUUCUACUUUCUAAUUACAUAAUUAAAAAAAAAAAAAAAAAAACAGAAUGAAAAACGAAUAAUACAUUUCGUAAUAUUAGAAAUUAUACUCCUCCAUAUGUGUGAAUAAAAUCAAAAAGAAAAAAAGAAAAUAUCACUGUGGGUAAAAUAAAUAAGUACUUUUUUGGAAUUAAGAAUUAGCUCACUUAAGUGCAAUUCUGUCUUUUCCGAUUUGGAUAAACAUUUUCGUGAUUGCUUAUCAUUAGUGUGGGGACUUAAGUACAUGUUAAUGGAGUUCCGAUAUGGACAAAGGGAAUUGCAAAAAUCAAAGAAAACUAAUGCGGUCAAAAAGGAUUUAUAUGCUUUUAUAAGGAAAUCAGUUGCAGUCGAUAACAACAAUGUCUCCUUAGUUAGCUGAUAAAAUUCAUGAUGGAAGACAAUGAUUGGUUAUCCACCUUAUCAAAGUAAACCUCUAUCAUAUCCAUACUUGACAUCUCGUACUCCUGGUUUUAAGUUAUAUUAACAAUCGCAUUCCUCAAUAGUUACUCUCACCGUUCCAAAAUACUGGUCAUAAUUUGCUUUCUUAGUCAAACAUAAAUAUAUUUUUUCAUUAUAGUGAUAUGAGAAAAAUUAUGACUUAUAAUAGUAUUUUUGUAUAGUUUUUAAAUAUCUAAAUUUUAAAUUUAAAAAUAUUAAAUUAAUAAUUUAAAUUAAAUUUAAAAAUUCGUUAAACUAACUCGAAAUUUAAGACAUGACAACUUAGGAUGUAAGGAGAAGCAAAGCAUGGCAACUAUUUCGAAGGAACGGAGAAAUUACAGUUCAAUUACUAUCUAAUAAAAAAUAGUACUUAGCCCCCAAGGGGGUGGUUGAGUUGAUUUGAGGAGACUUUCCAUAGCGGAGGUCGCGGGUUCAUUCCACCUCUAAUACCUUCUCAAUCGAGCUCGUCGCACGGGAUUUACCUAGUGCGGUUUACAUCUCCUAUGUGAUUUGUGAGCUAUUGCACGGUGAGGGGUUUAUCCAGUGUGCACACAGUGCUCACCCGAAGGACAGAGGCUGUAGCGGCUGCGAUCUUGGAGUUUCCAAAAAAAAAUAGUACUUAACUAGCAUAUUAAAACUCAUUGAUAAACACUAUGGAUGAUAGCUUAAAUUUUAUUCUAAUUUGAACGUUUAUUUAGUUCUUGUUCUUGAUAAUACAGGUUACCUAUUACUUUACUCAAUUCUAGACCAUACAAUCGCUCUCCACGUAGUUCUAAUUGAUUUUGACAUAAAUAAUACGUAGAUUCCUGUCUUCAUCUGAACAUUUUACAUAAAGAGGCGUAUAACCGCUGCACACAUUGCGUGAGACGUGGCGCUACCCGAAUUCCAACGAAUUUCAUAUGAUUUCUCAAACUUGCAAAGAAUCUACUGAUGCACUUGCUAAGCUUGCAGUGCAAUAAUACUCUGGUUCAUGUGGGUCAGGUUAACCAGGAAAGAGUAACACCACCUGUUUAAAUUACCCAAUGUUACAUACACAACGUUUUUUAAAAAAAGGAAGUACCAAGAUAAGUGCAUCCAAAAACCAUUGAACUUCAUAACACAAGGACGUCCUUUCACUUGGACAAAGAUUUGCCAUCUUAAUGAAAAUGCCUUCCACAACUCUCCAUAAAGAAGACUCAAGACGACCUUUUCAAUGUGAAGCAUAAAGAGGCCUAUAAUAAUAUCAGCAACCUCAGAAUUUUUAUACGAAAACACCGAAGUUCAAGACUAUUUCAUAGGAACCACGUUUGCGCAUCUAAUAAAAUACAAGAUCAGAGUCAUAGGCAGCAAAUGAAAAUCCACAGCCUCCACCCCAAAUGGAAAAACAAGAGAAGCAGGUUGCAUUAUUCGGUUUUACCACCUAACACAAUUUGAUCUUCAAUAGAAGGACACAACUUGAUGUUCCCACCUUUAUCCAAAGCAUUCUCGACUGAAAAAGAGAAACCGACAAACUUGACAAAACAUGCAUUUGUUCGAAAAAAUAUUAUACAAGGUCCAGAGUCAUUCAAUCUUAAGCCUCCAGAAGCACAGUACUGACUAAUGAGCCAGUUUCAGCCACUGAAAGAUUAAAAGUGAAAAUACAACUUUCUUUCUUCCCUAAUGAUUAACCAGUCUUGUCAUCUUUGACACUCUUGUUGUCUCUAUCACUUAUACGUGGGGUGUACUGGCUAGUAGAUGAUGGUGAAUACCCAGGAGCACUUGGUGAGUACCCUGCACUUGGACUGAAGAAAAACAGUUUUUAGAAAGGAAAAAAAAACAUAAAUCACACUGCAUUAAGGACCUGAGAAGUAAAACCCAACUAACCUGUACUGGGGAGAACUCGGACUAUAAUCUGGACUUGUACCUGAGUUGUUGUAUGGGCUGAAUUUGGGGGAAAAGAAGAGAAAAUUAUUUCAAAAAUGGAUCAGGAAAUCAUGCUCAUCAAAAUUCAAAAUGCAGCGUAAGACAAAGAAAAAGGAGGUUACCCUCCAACAGUAUAAGAUCUCACUAUUUUACUUCCACCAAGAUUUCAGGCAGUAUAUCAAAUACAGGACUACAUGCACAUCAGUUACCUGCUGGGACUAUAGGUUGGGCUUGAAGGAGAAUAUGAUGGAGAUGUUGGAGAGUACGAAGGUGACGUAGGACUGCAAAAACAAGACCACAUUUAAUCACGUCAUUAGUAAUAUACCAAGAGCCAGUCAGAAAUCUACCAAUACAAACCCCGACGAUUUCAGAAACUAACUAGUUAUAAUGAAACUGACUUUAAACCAGAGAUAAAUUAGGUAAAGCAGCGUAAUUAAGAUUAAGGCACUAGUAAAGUCGAUGUAUUAUUAUCGAACAGAGGCAACUUGAGCCUUUCCUGUCCGGCAAACGAAUCAAGACACCUGUAUCAAACAAAGGUUGUUUACCUGUAACUUGGAGAUGACGGGCUGUAAGGACUAGAAGGAGACAGCUUCGGGCUGGUUGGCGAAUAUGCAAGGGAGGGGCUGUAUCUUGCCGAGGGAUUGUAACUUGGUGAUGUAGGACUGUAGGAUGGUGAUGUUGGGCUAUAGCUGGGAGAUGUUGGGCUGUAACCAGGGGAGGUAGGACUGUAUGCAGGAGAAGUCGGACUAUAUGAAGGGGAAGUUGGACUAUAAGUUGGUGAGGUGGGGCUAUAUGAAGGCGACGUGGGGCUGUAUGAAGGUGAAGUGGGACUGUAAGAUGGGGAAGUGGGGCUGUAAGAUGGAGAAGUGGGGCUAUAGGCAGGAGAAGUAGGGCUGUAGGCAGGAGAAGUAGGACUGUAAGCAGGAGAAGUAGGACUAUAACUGGGCGAUGUUGGGCUAUAGCUAGGUGAUGUUGGGCUGUAGCUCGGAGAUGUUGGGCUAUAACUGGGUGAUGUGGGUGAGUAUGAUGGACUGGUUGGAGAAUAUGCUGGACUUGUUGGGCUGUAGCCAGGGGAGCUUGGGCUAUAAGUGGGGGAAGUUGGGCUGUACCCAGGGGAUGUGGGGCUGUAGCCCGGGGAAGUGGGGCUGUAACCUGGAGAGGUCGGGCUAUAACCAGGGGAUGAUGGACUAUAACCAGGGGAUGACGGGCUGUAUCCAGGGGAUGAAGUGGG
rnacentral:lncRNA from 1 species